GAGCACCCCUGGGGCCUAGCAGGGGGCUGGGAGUCAGGGCAGGAGCCAGAAGCCACGGCCAGAGCUGAUGGAAACCAGGGAAGAAUGGGCAAAAUGGCAGGGAAAACCAACACCACCCCGCAUCACCCACACCAGAUUCCCCGUUACCACCAGAGGUCUACACUCUGGAAGAGAAGCGGGAUACAGACUGGCUGUCCAGGUAAGCCCAGCUAUCUGAGCUGCAGCUCAUUAGACUUUGGUUAAUUUGUUAUUAAUUCCUCAGGAGCACCGAACAAUCCAAACAAGAUGCAGAAAUCAAUGGCCAAGGAAAAGACAAAGCAACCUUCUAAGCAGAAUGUGAGUGAGGAGAGUGGCUUUAAAAAGGCCUCGACAAACUAUUUGAGGUGCAGCCUGUAAAGUGGAGAAUAAAUGCCUUUUUUACAUUGGUUCA
rnacentral:lncRNA from 12 species